AUUGAACGCUGGCGGCAUGCUUUACACAUGCAAGUCGAACGGUAACAGCACUUCGGUGGCUGACGAGUGGCGAACGGGUGAGUAAUACAUCGGAACGUACCUAGUAGUGGGGGAUAACUACUCGAAAGAGUAGCUAAUACCACAUGAGAUCUAAGGAUGAAAGCAGGGGACCUUCGGGCCUUGCGCUACUAGAGCGGCUGAUGGCAGAUUAGGUAGUUGGUGGGAUAAAAGCUUACCAAGCCGACGAUCUGUAGCUGGUCUGAGAGGACGACCAGCCACACUGGGACUGAGACACGGCCCAGACUCCUACGGGAGGCAGCAGUGGGGAAUUUUGGACAAUGGGCGCAAGCCUGAUCCAGCAAUGCCGCGUGCAGGAUGAAGGCCUUCGGGUUGUAAACUGCUUUUGUACGGAACGAAAAGCCCUCUUCUAAUACAGGAGGGUCAUGACGGUACCGUAAGAAUAAGCACCGGCUAACUACGUG
rnacentral:rRNA from 1 species